UACGUAGGGUGCGAGCGUUAAUCGGAAUUACUGGGCGUAAAGCGUGCGCAGGCGGUUCGUUGUGUCGGCGGUGAAAGCCCCGGGCUUAACCUGGGAAUGGCCGUCGAAACUGGCGAACUGGAGUGUGGCAGAGGGGGGUGGAAUUCCGGGUGGAGCGGUGAAAUGCGUAGAGAUCCGGAGGAACACCGACGGCGCAGGCAGCGUCCUGGCCGCUUGCUGACACUGAGGCACGAAAGCGUGGGGAGCAAACAGG
rnacentral:rRNA from 1 species